UGGGAAGGCUGAGGAGGCUCUGUGUUGGAGAGAGGAGACAGCACAGGUGGGUGGUCAGCAGAAAGGUCUGGACAUCCCAGCCCAUCUGCCCCAUCCCCGUCCCCCACACUGGUCCCCGCCCCCCCCUCUACUAACGCUGGCUCUGCCCAAGCACGGCCACAGGACACAUUUCAUUUCGUCCAAGACGUGUAACAUCUCAUAAGCUUUACUCCUGGGCUUGAGAUCAGGAGGGGACCAGCUGGCCUGAGAACAGUUCAUUCGGAAAGACCUUAAAGGCCUCCAGACACAACAAUGGUGACGACAGGUACGAUGACGUGGCGGUGACUGUCCAGGAACUGCACUCAGCGCCACACCACGUGGCUUUGUCCCAUCUCAUAAAAAGCCUGAAAGUUAGUGUCAGGGAGGUUAGGGGACCUGCCCAAGGCCCCCUGGCCUGGCAAGCGACAGAGCUGGGGCCCCCAGAGCCAUCUGCCACCGACGCCCAUCCUUGAGAUGAAAAUGAGACGAUAGUGGGAGGAAGGAUGCCUCAAAUGACCCAAACCAACCACAGUUGGUGGCAUUACGGCCUAAAAAAUGCUUUCUGAUACUUCAUCUCAUAUCAGCGUUGGGGAAACUGAGGUUUGGAGAAGCAAAGUGCCCGACCCAGUUGGCAGGGCUGGGAAGGCGAGGAGUCAGGACUCUCACUCCAUGUGAUGCUGGGUACACUGGCCACAACGCAAAGGUCCUAAGGCUGUGAGGACGCAGAGGACCCAGAAUCUGGCAGGGUCAUCCCCCCCGCCUCAAGCUGGACAAUGCAUAGGUCCCCAGGAGCUCUGUGGUCAGCUUUGGGUGCCAUGGCUCCAGAGGCACCCAGCCCCCUCCCGAGAAUCCCAUUGAGGCAGCAGGAUGGGGAGGGGCCAGGAGGAACCAGGAACCAGGUUCCAGAGGAACCAGGACUGCAGAGCGUAGACAGGACACAGCUGUCACAUGGGGAGGGCUGGGAGGCAGCCCAGAGAUGGGUUUAAGGGUACAGACUGAGCCAGGCCACCCCUGGGAUCAAGUCCCACUCACCAGCUGGGUGACCCUGGCCAAGCGUGCCUCCAUAUGCUCAUGCAUAAAAGGCGGAUGCUAAUAGCACCUGCCUUGUGGGGGGAUGGUGUAAGGAUUAAAGAAGUGAACAGGUGCACAACGCUUACAACACGACCGGGCAUCUAGCAAGAGCCCCAUCAAAGUUGGACAUGAUCAUCGCUGCUGUUACUUCUAUCACAACGUAGCACGGAGGGCGAAAGCACAGCCCUGGCAUCCCAGAGACGUGAGUUCAAAUCUCAGCCCUCCUCUCUGGCUGCUCUAUGGCACCCAAUGCGUGGCUCCACCUCUCGGUGCCUCCACUCCCCCGUCUGUAAAUAGGGAUAAUAGCAUCCAACUCACAAGUAACUGAGGGAAGUAAAUCAGCCUGUUCGUCUACCCUACAAACAUAUAUCAAGAGCCUCCUGGCAAAGCGCCCCACAGCCUUCCAGGCAGGUGUCAUUAUCACAUGAUCCAUAUUCUCCACGCGGACAGUGGUGAGACAGCGGUGCAAGUUACAAGGAAUCGGAUUUUUCUAGUAACUGUCCAAGGAGAUGAGCAGGGAAGAGUGGUAGUGAGCUCCCCGUAGCAGAGAUUCCUGCACUGAUGGGCCCCUGGGCUCUAAGGAACCAAAUCACACAGAGAUAGACAGAGAGGGGACCCUCCAGCCCAGGUGUGCGACCAAGAGGCCCAGGUCCACAGCUUCAUCCCUCCCCCCCCCAGAGCUCACCCCUCUCCUACCCUGCAGGAAGACAGGAGCCUCCAGCCACCCUGAGGGAGCAGGCGUCACAGCGCCCCCUUGAGGGCAGAUGCCUCCGGUGCGGCAGCCGAGGGGCUUCCCACCCUCCCUCUUCUCUGCCCAGAGCCCAGGAUUCCUGCAGCCACUGGAGAGGGCAGGGGUCACCUCCUCCUGCCUCCCACCUCCUCUGCGCUCCUCCUGCCGCUCACUCCGCUAGGAGUUAUGAUCUCUCACAUUCUGGAAGCUCCCAACAUCACUCCUCCCCCAGGAGACCAGAGAGCUGGAGGCACCGCCGCAUUUCACAGGUGAGGAAACCCAGGCCCAGAGAGGAUGAGUUACUUGGCCUAAAUCACCCAAACGGUCAAUGUCAGAGCGAAGACUGAAGACGCCUAGUUCCGUGCUCUUCAGCCAUGAGAGCAGAAGAGGAGGGGGAGGCCUCACUGACUGUGAGGGGUCCUCUGUGCUAGGAAGAGGGCUCCCCUCUGGAGUUUCCUAAGGUUGCCAUCAAGCCGUGGCUUGGAUGCCUUUAGUGACAGGGUGCUCACUACCUCAUGAGGAAACCCGCCGCUUUCUUGCACAGCCCUGAUUGGUAGAAGGGCUUUCCUAACCAGCCUGGUCUCAGCCUUCAAGAUGUUUCUUUCUCUUUGCUUCCAUCUCCUAGGGAUGCAGACAAUUUAAAGGUUGGGGAGUAUCCAAGGGCACCUCGGCAAGGCUCAUGAAUGCAGCUAACACAAGCCCGUGCCUUGGCAAGGGAGGGCCUUUCUCCAGUUCAUACAAAGGGGUCAUGUGAGAGAGCUGGGGCCCCGUCCCUCACGCCUCUGUUACACAGGCCACGGUUCUGUGCUUUUGUGACCCACCUCUCCGUGUCCCCCACUGGGCAGCAGGUACCUCGGGGGCACACACUCGAUCCUAUUCAGCUCGCUAUCAGGACACUUGGCACAGACAUCAGAUUGGUUGAUACACAGUGUGGUUCCUGUACCUUCUCCACUGCCUCUGCCCCACCCCCUGGAGCUCUGAGAACACAACCUAUUUCUCCCCCCAGGCCAGGCCUUUAAGGAUUGAAGAUGGGGGCCAUUGGAGCAGGAGAAGCAACCCCACAGCUGUGCUCAGGGAUGGUACAUGGGCUACUUCCCUCUCUGUGCCCUUCCAGAUGCUCUCCCAGGUGCCCUCCCAGGUGCCCUCCCUGAUGCCCUCCCAGGUGCCCUCCCUGAUGCCCUCCUAGGUGCCCUCCCAGGUGCCUUUCCAGAUGCCCUCCCAGGUGCCCUCCUUGAUACCCUCCCAGGUGCCCUUCCAGAUGCCCUCCCAGGUGCCCUCCCUGAUGCCCUCCCAGGUGCCCUUCCAAGAUGCCCUCCCAGGUGCCCUUCCAGAUGCCCUCCCAGGUGUCCUUCCAAAUGCCCUCCCAGGUGCCCUUCCAGAUGCUCUCUCAGGUGCCCUCCCUGAUUCCCUCCCUGAUGCCCUCCCAGGUGCCCUUCCUGAUGCCCUCCCAGGUGCCCUCCCUGAUGCCCUCCCAGGUGUCCUCCCUGAUACCCUCUGAGGUGUCUUCCCAGAUGCCCUCCCAGGUGCCCUUCCAGAUGCCCUCCCAGGUCCUCCCAGGUGCCCUCCCAGAUGCUCUCUCAGGUGCCCUCCCUGAUUCCCUCCCUGAUGCCCUCCCAGGUGCCCUCCCUGAUGCCCUCCCAGGUGCCCUUCCAGAUGCCCUCCCAGGUGCCCUCCCUGAUGCCCUCCCAGGUGCCCUCCCUGAUACCCUCCCAGGUGCCCUUCCAGAUGCCCUCCCAGAUGCCCUCCCAGGUGCCCUCCCUGAUGCCCUCCCAGGUGCCCAGGCGGCACGGCCCCACGGUUACCUUCAUGUAGGCGUUGAGGGCAGGAAUCCGCAUCUCAGCGAUCUCCUGUUUCACACCCACGUACACUUUGGCUGAGGAAGUGCAAAGAGCUGUCCUGGGAGCCUGGCCCGAGCACAUGGUCUCUGGGCCCCGAGCUGCACCGCCCCCCCCCCGAGGCCAGGAACCCUCCCCACUGUCUCAGCGGCGCUCAAGAGGCCCCUCCAGUCCACACCGCCUUUCAGCUUGCUUUCAGCUGGGUUGCACUGUUUCCAGCUGAUAUUUUACUUGUUUCUUUACUGCCUGUUCCUACACACACACACACACACACACACACACACACAAUUCCUGGCUCCAAGAGAAGGGGAACUUUGCUUAGUUCUCAACUGGAUCCCACGACCUAACACAGGGGUCCUCAACCCAGGCUACAUAUCGAAGUCACCCGAGGAGCAUUUAAGAAUCUCACUGUCAUAGGACUCACCCGGGAUUAUUAAAUCAGGGGCUCCGGGGGUGGGACUUGGGCAUCAAAAUUCUUGAACUUUUAGGGGGCUCCUAAGAUGCCAACGAGGCCCAAAUCAAUCAAUAUUUGUUGGGUAGAUGAAGGGGUCUUUCCUCAAAAGCAAGGCAGCGUGUUUAGGGGGAUCGGGAAACAGAUGAUGGCUGACCCAAGACACAUGUCCUCUCCAGGUGCCUUAGGCGGGGCCCCCCGGUUGAACCGUCUACCGGAAGAACUCCCACCAGAAGGUGAAUGUCUGGCUCCUGCCACCCGUGAGAUGGGCAGGAGCUGGUGUCCAGCUAGUAGUAGGGGGGACAGUGACUGAGGUCUGGGGUCGGGAGGCGGCUGGGACUCAGCAGCAAGAAGGGAGCAGUUAAGGUCAGAGUUCAGAUUACCUGGUUCAGGGGAGGGUGUCUGGAGGGGAGGUGGCACCGCACAGAAGGCCCACCUUUCAAGGGGCAGCAGGGGGGACAGAUUCUGUAAGGAGCUGGAGGAGCAGGGGUGAGGUUGGAAGUGAACUGGGAGAAGGCGAGAGUACCAGGAGGCCACGGAUAUGCUGUCAGGGGAAAGCCACACACA